UCAACCUCAGCGUUUCAUCCAAGGUUUUCAAACAACACCUACGUUUCAUCCAAGGUUUUCAAAAUGGAAAAAAUCAAUGACGAUGAUGUGUUAGCUUCUGUUUUUUCCAAAAAGAACAAAAGGGUUUCUCUCAGGGAUCAAAAUGUCACUAACAUUUGAGUUAUAAUAUUUUAUAUUUGGAUUUAUAAUAUCAUGAACUUGGAGUUAUAAGAUUAUGUAUUUGCUCUUAUACUAAACGUUGGAUAUAUAAUAAUAUGUAUCUGGAUUGAUAUUUUAAUGUGGAAUUUUUUUACAAAGUAUUUGGUGUUUUAUUAAUAUGUAAUUGGAAUUAUAAUAAGGUAUAAUUGAAGCUUUAUUUUUGUUUCGAAGUUAUAAUAUUUUUUUUUGGAUAUUAUCAAUGGUACCCUUGUACUAUAGCAAAAUAUCAAUGGAAUCGUAGUUAAUUUCAAUGGUACCCCCCCCAAGUAUAUGCUAAUUUCAAGGAAGACUUAGGGAGGAGUGGAGGAAACACCUGGUACUUUCUGCAUAUUCGGGUUGAUUAUUGUCGGGCUUGAGAUGAAGCAGCCAUGGAAGGAGAGCAGGAAGAGGAAAGGGAAAAGGGAAGAAGAAGAAACUAACCAUGGUUAGGUCAAAUUCAAGAUUUAACAGGCAUUUAACGGAAAAAUGAUUAAUAGUGUCACGCUUGUAAUUAGCAUAUACUUGGGGGGGUACCAUUGAAAUUAACUGGGGUACCAUUGAUAUUUUGAUAUAGUGCAAGGAUAACAUUGAUAAUAUCCCUUUUUUUUGUUAUAUUUUGGAUUGUAACAUUAUUUGUUUGGAUAUAUAACAUUAUUAAAUUGCGUUUUCUUCCCAGGAUAAGAACAUAUAUACCAACUGCAAACCCCAUUUAUUUCUAAUAAAUCGUAAAGAACAACUGAAGCUAACUGCCAAGCAAGUUGAUGACGUUAAUGAUAUUGGCUUUGGACACAUUCUGAGAAUCAAGCCUUUUAGGUUUCCCGCUGGCAUAAUUCCUUUUCUCAUUUCCCACUUUGAUGCAGUCAGUCGCAUCUAGUGUAUGCCGAAUUAACAUAACUACAUUAUCAUGGCUGAUGACGUUUAUGAAAUUUUUGGGUUGUCGUUGAACCCUUCUAAAUGACUAAUUACUCGAUCUAAGAGAGUGGAUAACGAUGUUGAUACAUGGCUAGGGAAGGUUGACUUCUCUAAGCCUGAGACCGUCAAGGCAAAGGAGGUUCUUGCUAUGUUUAACAGGUUUCCCGAAGGCGAGGAUGAUUUUAAAAAACAAUUUGUUUUGAACUCAUUGACUAUUUUGUUGGCCCCCCUCCCAAACUUUAAAUUGAAGAAGUCGAUGUAGCCUUGCAUUGCUGAUGCUUCAGCAAUCAAGAAAUUUGAUUGGUGUUCUUUUAUUUUGGACAAUUUAUGUUAAGUUGUUUAAUCAAGCAAGUUUGUCAAUAGCUGUAUUUUGAUAUUGUUUGUCUGCUAUUGUUAUCGGUUCCCUCACCAAGGGAAACUAUGCCCCAACUCCCUCCCGUUAAUCAAGCACAUGCUUGAAGACCAUCUCAAACACAGGUUUGACCAGGAGAGGUUGAAGGGGUUUGGAAGAGGUACUUUUGUGUCGCAGGGAUUGACUGGUGUAGAACAGGUGAUGAUGCUUUCGAGGAAGAUGUUAACGAGGUUGAAAAAGAUCAACCUGAUGGUGAACCAACUAACUUGUUUGAUGAUCCUUUAUUUGAAACCAACGAGCCAGUUCAUGUGGAUCAUCAAACACAUGAUAAGUCUUUCACUUACACUUUUGAUACGCGAUGGGAGAUGGAUUUGGAACUUGCUUGCAAAGGCUACAAUAGAUUGUGUGCAGGUCGAUAUCCGGUCGUGAUUAUGAUCGUUGAUAGUACCUAUGACUUGGUUCAUGGAAAUGUACGUGUCAAAAGGAUCCGAAAGAUGUUAGAAGAAGUAUAUCGGUUGGGAUGAAAAAUGGAGACAGCAGGUCUACUGUUGUCAAGUUGGAUGUUCUAACAAAACUGGAAAUUGGAAACAGCGCACUGUUCCUGAACUUAAGUCAAGCUACGUUAACUGGAAAUUCAGGACCUCGAUUCAUAAGAGGGCGAAAUUCUUAUCGUGCUUAAACGUUGUUUGGUUACAGCGCUUAAAGGUACACGCUUAGACCAUACUGUUUAUGUGGUUGUGCAAGUACUGUUGUUUCAUUUCUAAUCGAGGCUUUGUAAAUCACAUAAGGAUUAGACACCUCAAAUAAUUUGAAAGAUAUUAAUUGGAAGCUUAGAAUUUAUGUGUAUGUCACCCAAAGGGGUUGACGUUUGGUUAUGUUACCCAAAGGGGUUAACAAUUGGUUUGGAUUAUUAUAAUUAUUGUUCCCAUGGCAGUUUUGGAUUAUUACGGUCACCAUGGGGGUAUGCGUACUUUAGCCUUUGGCGACCCAAACAGGACGGGCAACGUCUUAGGUCGGUGGUUGCCUUGGGAUUAGCUCUCCCAAGUGUAUUCCUCCAAAAACAUUUGAAUUUAUACUUGAACGACCCAAGCAGGACGGGCAACGUUACAAGUUGGAAUUAUCUAAUGAUGAAUGGUUUGUACUUGAACGACCCGAACAGGACGGGCAACGUUACAAGUUGGGUUUCAUUAAUAAUAAAUGUAUUAGAGCCUAUGCAUGCUAGGAUGAACAAUUUACUUGUUUUCAAUCUGAUUGAUAAUUGUAUGAUAUCUCUGACGUGUAUUGGUUUGUUUCUUUCGAACCUACUAUGUGUUGUCCUACGACGACUAGUAGGUUGAUUGCAGGUGGGGUCCAGAGUGAGAUCUUGACGUAGAACCCGUAAUAAGCAAGACUUUGUAUUAUCUUUUAUAUUAGAUUAUGAAUAGACAGAAUCUAUGUAAUUAAUGUAACAAAAGAGAUAGUUUAUUUUCGUUUCCGCUAUUUCGAUUAGUUGUUUAGAGGCCUCUAGGCUCUCGAGUUGUUCGUUAGAGUUCCGCUGACUUAUUAUUUUUCACAUUGGUCUUGUUUUCUGUUUAUCUAUAUUUCUUUAUCGACGAAACGUUGACGGUCCUAGAGAAAAGUCUUCUCUAGAGUCUAAAAAGGUGAACCAGAAUUUUUAUUUUCAUAUGGAUUUUCGGGUCACUUAAAUCGGACUGUUACAAUUGGUAUCAGGGCCAACGUUCCUCAGAUGAUAAAGGAAUAAACGACCUAAUAGAGAGUUGGGAAAUAGACCUUAGGACGUAAUUUUGUUGUAUAUUGUUUGUGUUGUUGUGAUAGUAAUGUUUUGUUUGUACUUCCGUGUAGAAUCAGGAUAUAUGGAUAAGGGAAAAACACCCAUGCACUCACACACCCCCAGGAAGACUAGCGAAGUAUCGAUGUUUGACCCAGAGACUGCCUGGAGAGAAGUCUCCAAUGCUGAUAUAUGGAGAAUAAGGAAUGGUGAAAGUAUCCGAGAUUAUAGGGAGAGGAUGCGAAUGGUUAAGGCAAAGGCUGAUAGGGUAUGCUAUGAUUUAGAUUUAGACUUAAAUGAAUUACAUCGUUUGUCCGAAUCUAGGAAAAAUGUAGAACCGGGGAAAGAGGGCGAGCCCCACAUAUCAGACGACGCUGAUGUGGUCUUGGAACAGUUGAAGGAGCAGGACCUACCCGACCUUCCACUCGUGGAAACCGAGGUUCAGUUGUAGAGUGAUGUCAAAAUGUGGGAGCCUAAGCGGGAACCACCUACUUAUGUAGAAAUUUCCAGUGAUGAUGAGGGUGACAAUUGGGGGUCGCACUAUGACCUAUAUGGCUAUGGGACUGGGCUUGAUGGGGUUUGCUCAGAUGAAGAGGAUCCCGAAGAAGACGUGGAGGAGGUACCAAUAAACCACCCUAGAGAUAGUGACAGUGAAUCAGGAGAAGCACACUCGAACUCCAGCUCUGAUUCUGGGGAAGAUGCAGAUGAUGAGGAUUUUGACUUAGCUAGCUAUGAAGAGAGUGCUGACACUUGGGACGCUUGGCGCUAAAAUGUUUUCCCUUUAGUUAUAUCUUUCGAGCUAUUAUCAUAUGAAUAUGUAAAAGUU